rnacentral:rRNA from 1 species
UACGGAGGGGGCUAGCGUUGUUCGGAAUUACUGGGCGUAAAGCGUACGUAGGCGGCUUUGUAAGUUAGAGGUGAAAGCCCGGAGCUCAACUCCGGAAUUGCCUUUAAGACUGCAUCGCUUGAAUCGUGGAGAGGUUAGUGGAAUUCCGAGUGUAGAGGUGAAAUUCGUAGAUAUUCGGAAGAACACCAGUGGCGAAGGCGACUAACUGGACACGUAUUGACGCUGAGGUACGAAAGCGUGGGGAGCAAACAGG